AGUGAACGCUGGCGGCAGGCCUAAUACAUGCAAGUCGAACGGCAGUACAGCAGAGCUUGCUCUGUGGGUGGCGAGUGGCGGACGGGUGAGGAAUACAUGGGAAUCUGCCCAGUCGUGGGGGAUAACGUAUGGAAACGUACGCUAAUACCGCAUGCGCCCUAAGGGGGAAAGCCGGGGACCGCAAGGCCUGGCGCGAUUGGAUGAGCCCAUGUUCGAUUAGCUAGUUGGCGGGGUAAAGGCCCGCCAAGGCGACGAUCGAUAGCUGGUCUGAGAGGAUGAUCAGCCACACUGGAACUGAGACACGGUCCAGACUCCUACGGGAGGCAGCAGUAGGGAAUAUUGGACAAUGGGGGCAACCCUGAUCCAGCCAUGCCGCGUGAGUGAAGAAGGCCCUCGGGUUGUAAAGCUCUUUUGUCCGGAAAGAAAGCAAUCGGUUAAUACCCGGU
rnacentral:rRNA from 1 species